rnacentral:lncRNA from 10 species
UUUCAAACUCAGAUGAACCACUGGGGAGUCUCUUGAUACUCUGUUGCCUAAUUUGGAUGGUUAAUGGUCAGUGUUCCUAAUUGCACUGCCCCUGGAAAACGCACGGAGAAGAAAUACAGCAAAAUACAUGAGAUGGUGAAACACUCUGGCAACUGCAAGCGGACAGAUGGGAUCUGGGAGGGACUCCCAUCUUCUGCAUGGCAUCAGCACAAGGGUGAAGAGGGAAGAUAAAGGAUCAUGCAGGGAGUUUCAUGGACUAGGCCUGGAAGUGCCAUAUUCCACUGCUGCUUGUGUUCCAGAAGGCAGCCGCACAGCCACAAGGGAUUGUAAAGGAAGCUGAAAAAUAUGAUCGAGCAUUGUGUCUGGGAAGAGAGGGAAAUGGGUAUGGUGCAUGACUAACCAGUGUUUGUCACAGCACAGAAAGUAAGGUAUAAAGGAAACAACUCACUCUGUAU